CGUAACAAGGUCUCCGUUGGUGAACCAGCGGAGGGAUCAUUACAGAGUUGCAAAACUCCCACAAACCAUCGCGAAUCUUACCCGUACGGUUGCCUCGGCGCUGGCGGUCCGGAAGGCCCUCGGGCCCCCGGAUCCUCGGGUCUCCCGCUCGCGGGAGGCUGCCCGCCGGAGUGCCGAAACUAAACUCUUGAUAUUUUAUGUCUCUCUGAGUAAACUUUUAAAUAAGUCAAAACUUUCAACAACGGAUCUCUUGGUUCUGGCAUCGAUGAAGAACGCAGCGAAAUGCGAUAAGUAAUGUGAAUUGCAGAAUUCAGUGAAUCAUCGAAUCUUUGAACGCACAUUGCGCCCGCCAGUAUUCUGGCGGGCAUGCCUGUCCGAGCGUCAUUUCAACCAUCAAGCUCUGCUUGCGUUGGGGAUCCGCGGCUGCCCGCGGUCCCUCAAAAACAGUGGCGGGCUCGCUAGUCACACCGAGCGUAGUAACUCUACAUCGCUAUGGUCGUGCGGCGGGUUCUUGCCGUAAAACCCCCCAAUUUUUAAGGUUGACCUCGGAUCAGGUAGGAAUACCCGCUGAACUUAAGCAUAUCAAUAAGCGG
rnacentral:rRNA from 1 species